AAGCAUAUCACUGAGCGCAGGAGAAGAAACUAACCAGGAUUUCCCUAGUAACGGCGAGCGAACCGGAAAGAGCCCAGCUUGAAAAUCGUGGCGCCCCGGCGCCUCGAAUUGUAGUCUGGAGAAGGUCCCUCUGCGGCGCGCCGGAUUCAAGUUCCCUGGAAUGGGACGUCCGAGAGGGUGAGAACCCCGUCGUAUCCGGAGUGCGUCGCUCCACGAGGACCUGUCUGCGAGUCGGGCUGUUUGGGAAUGCAGCCCUAAGCGGGUGGUAAAUUCCAUCCAAGGCUAAAUAUUGGCAAGAGACCGAUAGCGAACAAGUACCGCGAGGGAAAGAUGAAAAGGACUUUGAAAAGAGAGUUAAAAAGUGCUUGAAAUUGCUGGGAGGGAAGCGAAUGGAAGCUGCGGGUGCGCCCCGGUUGGAUGUGGAACGGCCGUCAAACGCUGGUCCGCCGCUCAACGCGGGGCGCUGGUCAGCGUGGGCCAUCGCGGCGGGACAAGAGCGGGGAUUCGCUUCCCGCCGAUGCCGCUGCGGUGGCCGAGGAACGAAGCGCGCGCCUUCCGGCGUGGGACUCGUCCCAACUGCGCGCUCGAGACGCUGGCGUAUUGAGCUCUUCAUCCGACCCGUCUUGAAACACGGACCAAGGAGUCUAACAUGUAUGCGAGCCGGUGGGCGGCAAACCCAUUGAGGCGCAAGUAACCUGACAGGUGGGACCCCGACCGCAAGGGAGGGAGCACCAUCGACCGACCGUGAUCUUCUGUGAAGGGUUC
rnacentral:rRNA from 1 species